GGGUCAUUUCAAAAUCACACAAGGUCCCAAAAUAAUACUAAUCCCGUACAGGCCUUAAGAGGUUACUAUAUAAUGAGGUAAUCCACACUGUAAGAGGAUACUAUAUAAUGAGGUAAUCUACAAUGUAAGAGGUUACUAUAUAAUGAGGUAAUCCACACUGUAAGAGGUUACUAUAUAAAGAAAAAAUUAACUUUAAGCACUUCAGUGGGAUAAGUGCACAGCUUUUAGUCAAAC